AUCCCUUCAGCCUCUCAACCCACACGACACACACACACCCACAGCUCCGACUGUAAUCAAAAUCUCAGACAGACAGAGAGAGAGACGCAACAACAAUGUCGACUUCCUUAUCCUCCCUCACCUUCUCCUUCUCUUCCCUCUCCUUUUCCUCCCAUAUUUCCCACAAACCAAACAGCCUCUCUUUCCACCGGCCCAGGUCCCUCUCCCUCUCGCACCUGUCCGCUCCCCCUUCUCUCGUCUUCCUCGCCUCCGCCGCCCCCCCGGCAGAGCUUGAGACGAUGGACCUAAAGAAGUACGUCAAAUCCAGGCUUCCUGGUGGUUUCGCCGCCCAAACAAUUAUCGGCACCGGCCGCCGAAAAUGUGCCAUUGCUCGCGUCGUCCUCCAAGAAGGCACCGGCAAAGUUAUCAUCAAUUACCGUGACGCCAAGGAAUAUCUUCAAGGCAAUCCAUUGUGGCUUCAGUAUGUCAAAGUCCCAUUGGUAACUUUGGGAUAUGAAAGUAGUUAUGAUGUUUUUGUCAAAGCUCAUGGGGGAGGUCUCUCUGGUCAAGCUCAGGCAAUCUCCCUGGGCAUUGCUCGUGCACUGCUAAGGGUGAGUGAGGACCACAGAAGACCUCUGAGAAAGGAAGGGCUUCUAACCAGGGACUCCAGAAUUGUUGAGAGGAAGAAAGUUGGUCUCAAAAAGGCUCGCAAAGCCCCACAGUUCUCCAAACGUUGAGGUGUUACUGCGGCUUUAAGACUCUUGAAUGGGAGUUAUGAAAGUCGGAUCAUCUUUCUGUAGCUUUCGGCCUUUGGUGCCUUGGCCUACUAUUAAAGGUUUCAAGCCGAGCUGUGAAACAGUGAAAGGCCUCGUUUAAGCUUAAGCUUUGACACUUGCAAGAUUUUAUCUUGGUUGUGUGGGCGUGACCAAUCUUCCACACAUCACCAGAUUUGGGAAUGUUCAAUGGCUUCCUCCAACUCGUGUUCUUCCUUGUUUUCUUUACCCAAUGAACCACUUUAUUUCUGAAAAUCUCGUCCUCUCUUUUCUCUCAACUUUCUCCUCAUAUUUCAUCUCAUUUUAUGAAUGUAAAAAAACUUAAUGCAUUAGACGUUAUGAAUGUAAAUAACUUAUUUAAAUGUUCUUUAGUUUGAUCA